rnacentral:rRNA from 1 species
UACGGGGGGGGCAAGCGUUGUUCGGAAUUACUGGGCGUAAAGGGCUCGUAGGCGGCCAACUAAGUCAGACGUGAAAUCCCUCGGCUUAACCGGGGAACUGCAUCUGAUACUGGAUGGCUUGAGUUCGGGAGAGGGAUGUGGAAUUCCAGGUGUAGCGGUAAAAUGCGUAGAUAUCUGGAGGAACACCGGUGGCGAAGGCGGCAUCCUGGACCGACACUGACGCUGAGGAGCGAAAGCCAGGGGAGCAAACGGG